CAUGCAAGUCGAGGGGAAACGACAUCGAAAGCUUGCUUUUGAUGGGUGUCGACCGGCGCACGGGUGAGUAACGCGUAUCCAACCUGCCCACCACAUGGGGAUAACCUUGCGAAAGUAAGACUAAUACCCAAUGAUAUCUCUAGAAGACAUCUGAAAGAGAUUAAAGAUUUAUCGGUGAUGGAUGGGGAUGCGUCUGAUUAGCUUGUUGGCGGGGUAACGGCCCACCAAGGCGACGAUCAGUAGGGGUUCUGAGAGGAAGGUCCCCCACAUUGGAACUGAGACACGGUCCAAACUCCUACGGGAGGCAGCAGUGAGGAGUAUUGGUCAAUGGACGAGAGUCUGAACCAGCCAAGUAGCGUGCAGGAUGACGGCCCUAUGGGUUGUAAACUGCUUUUAUAAGGGAAUAAAGUGAGUCUCGUGAGACUUUUUGCAUGUACCUUAUGAAUAAGGACCGGCUAAUUCCGUGCCAGCAGCCGCGGUAAUACGGAAGG
rnacentral:rRNA from 1 species